AGAACCUUUAAUGUUAAAACUAGUAACAAGAGAUUCCCCUCUCUAUAAUGCAAACUCAAGCCAGCAAGAACCCAUCACUGGCAACUAACAGAAACAAAGUAACAACUUUCACCAGAAAACUCUACUUCCCUAACCGUUAACCUUACACAAGAGCAUUUCAAGAAAGAUUUAAAGAAAAAGAAGGAACUCGGCAAACACUAAUCCCGCCUGUUUACCAAAAACAUCGCCUCUUGUCCCCAUGAGAGGUCCAGCCUGCCCAGUGACUCCUGUUCAACGGCCGCGGUAUCCUAACCGUGCAAAGGUAGCGUAAUCACUUGUCUUUUAAAUAAAGACUAGUAUGAAAGGCACCACGAGGAUUAAACUGUCUCCUCUUUCCAAUCAGUGAACCUAAUCUCCCCGUGAAAAAGCGGGAAUUUUUAUAUAAGACGAGAAGACCCUAUGGAGCUUAAAACAUCGUAACACUGCACCCUUAUUAAUUCUAAUUCUAACACCUAUAGCAUGAUAAUUAUAUGUUUUUGGUUGGGGUGACCACGGAGAAAAACCCAUCCUCCAUAAUAACAGGGGAAACCCCCAACAAUAAGCCACAACUUUAUGUAUCAACAAAUUGACAUUAUUGACCCAAUAUUUUGAUUAACGAACCAAGUUACCCUAGGGAUAACAGCGCAAUCCACUUUAAAAGUCCCUAUCGACAAGUGGGCUUACGACCUCGAUGUUGGAUCGGGGUAUCCUGGUGGUGCAGCCGCUACU
rnacentral:rRNA from 1 species